AGUUGGUAAGGUAACGGCUUACCAAGGCCACGAUCAGUAGCUGGUUUGAGAGAACGAUCAGCCACACUGGGACUGAGACACGGCCCAGACUCCUCCGGGAGGCAGCAGUGAGGAAUUUUCCGCAAUGGGCGAAAGCCUGACGGAGCAAUACCGUGUGAGGGAUGAAGGAUUUUGGUCUGUAAACCUCUUUUCUCAAGAAAGAAGUUCUGACGGUACUUGAGGAAUAAGCAUCGGCUAACUCCGUGCCAGCAGCCGCGGUAAUACGGGGGAUGCAAGCGUUAUCCGGAUUUAUUGGGCGUAAAGCGCCUGUAGGUUGUUUAAUAAGUCUGUUGUUAAAGACUAGGGCUUAACCCUAGGAAAGCAAUGGAAACUACUAGACUUGAGUAUGAUAGGGGUAGAGGGAAUUUCCAGUGAAGCGGUGAAAUGCGUAGAUAUUGGAAGGAACACCAAUGGCGAAAGCACUCUACUAGACUUUUACUGACACUCAGAGGCGAAAGCUAGGGUAGCAAAUGGGAUUAGAUACCCCAGUAGUCCUAGCCGUAAACGAUGGAUACUAAACAUUGCGUGCAUCGAUCCGCGUGGUGUUAUAGCUAACGCGUUAAGUAUCCCGCCUGGGGAGUAUGCUCGCAAGGGUGAAACUCAAAGGAAUUGACGGGGGCCCGCACAAGCGGUGGAGCAUGUGGUUUAAUUCGAUGCAACGCGAAGAACCUUACCAAGGCUUGACAUACUACAGAUUUCUUUGAAAAAGGAAAGUGCCUUCGGGAAUGUAGAUACAGGUGGUGCAUGGCUGUCGUCAGCUCGUGUCGUGAGAUGUUGGGUUAAGUCCCGCAACGAGCGCAACCUUUAUUUUUAGUUACCAAUUCGUUGGGUUCUCUAGAAAGACUGCCGGUGACAAACCGGAGGAAGGUGAGGAUGACGUCAAGUCAGCAUGCCCCUUAUGUCCUGGGCUACACACGUGCUACAAUGGCUAAGACAAAGAGUCGCAAGCUUGCGAAAGUUAGCUAAUCUCAUAAACUUAGCCUAAGUUCAGAUUGUAGGCUGCAACUCGCCUGCAUGAAGUUGGAAUCGCUAGUAAUCGCUGGUCAGCCAUACAGCGGUGAAUCCGUUCCCGGGCCUUGUACACACCGCCCGUCACACCAUGGGAGCUGGUCAUACCCGAUACCGUUUGCUUAACCAUUAGGAGAGCGACGUCUAAGGUAGGGCUAGUGACUGGGGUGAAGUC
rnacentral:rRNA from 1 species